GCGUGCUUAACACAUGCAAGUCGAACGAAGUGGCAAACGGGUGAGUAACACGUAAACAACCUGCCUUCAGGAUGGGGACAACAGACGGAAACGACUGCUAAUACCGAAUACCUGAAGAGGGGUUUGCGUCUGAUUAGGUAGUUGGUGAGGUAACGGCCCACCAAGCCGACGAUCAGUAGCCGGUCUGAGAGGAUGAACGGCCACACUGGAACUGAGACACGGUCCAGACUCCUACGGGAGGCAGCAGUGGGGAAUCUUCCGCAAUGGGCGAAAGCCUGACGGAGCAACGCCGCGUGAGUGAUGACGGCCUUCGGGUUGUAAAGCUCUGUGAUCGGGGACGCGGUACCCGAAUAGCAAGCCACGGCUAACUACGUGCCAGCAGCCGCGGUAAUACGUAGGUGGCAAGCGUUGUCCGGAAUUAUUGGGCGUAAAGCGCGCGCAGGCGGUUCUUAAGUCCAUCUUAAAAGUGCGGGGCUUAACCCCGUGAUGGGAUGGAAACUGAGAGCUGGAGUAUCGGAGAGGA
rnacentral:rRNA from 1 species